GCCUUCCUGCCUGCUGCCAAGUCAUCCCCACCAGGCUGGAAGAUCUCCCAGAACCCGGUCCUGUGACAAACCCUCGCCAUCACUUAGUUUAAUUCCCAUUUAAUAUAAUGUCAAGAUAAAGACUGGGAAUUCAUGGGCUUGACCUGUGGACAGUGCCGUGCAAAUGUGGGAGAAUAAAAUAUCCCUGAGCUCGCCCUCAGUGGCAAAGAUUUUAUUUAUUUUCUUCAGAGUGGGUGUCUGGUGAUUUUUUUUUCUUUCCGGUUGUUGUUAUUGUACUCGUUGGAGCAUUAAAUUUAGAAAGCAGUGUGACCUGUCACAGCUGGAGCCA
rnacentral:lncRNA from 1 species